rnacentral:rRNA from 1 species
UGGCGACCAUAGCAAGAGUGAACCACCUGAUCCCUUCCCGAACUCAGAAGUGAAACCUCUUAGCGCUGAUGGUAGUGUGGGAUUUCCCAUGUGAGAGUAAGUCAUCGCCAGCUC